CCCUUAGAUGUUCUGGGCCGCACGCGCGCUACACUGACAGAGCCAGCGAGUUCUUUUUCCUUGGCCGGAAGGUCAUGGGUAAUCUUGUGAAACUCUGUCGUGCUGGGGAUAGAGCAUUGCAAUUAUUGCUCUUCAACGAGGAAUUCCUAGUAAGCGUGAGUCAUCAGCUCGCGUUGAUUACGUCCCUGCCCUUUGUACACACCGCCCGUCGCUACUACCGAUUGAAUGGCUUAGUGAGGCCUUCGGAUUGACUUUGGGGAGUGGGCAACCGCACCCCGUUGUUGAGAAGUUGGUCAAACUUGGUCAUUUAGAGGAAGUAAAAGUCGUAACA
rnacentral:rRNA from 1 species